UACGAAGGGGGCUAGCGUUGCUCGGAAUCACUGGGCGUAAAGCGCACGUAGGCGGAUUGUUAAGUCGGGGGUGAAAUCCUGGAGCUCAACUCCAGAACUGCCUUCGAUACUGGCGAUCUUGAGUCCGGGAGAGGUGAGUGGAACUCCGAGUGUAGAGGUGAAAUUCGUAGAUAUUCGGAAAGAACACCAGUGGCGAAGGCGGCUCACUGGCCCGGUACUGACGCUGAGGAGCGAAAGCCAGGGGAGCAAAGCGGG
rnacentral:rRNA from 1 species